UCACGCAUGGAGCAGAGCCCGUGAGACUCUUCUCCGGGUGGGGGCGCGCACCAAGGCUAAGGCCGAUCGCCACCGGUCGAAGCCUCCGGUAUACGUCGUUGGCCAAAGAGUGUGGCUUUCUACUAAGAACAUUCCACUCCGAUCCGUUUCGAACAAGCUUGCCCCCAAAUUUAUCGGCCCGUUCAGAGUCACCAGGAUCAUUAGUCCGGUGGCGGUCCGGCUCAAGCUUCCUCUGGCGUAUAGGAGAAUUCAUCCUACCUUUCAUGUGUCUAAAAUAAAACCUGUGUUUCAGGCACGCAUUAACCCGCCGGUCCCGGUUCCCCCGCCGCCACGACUUGUUGAUGGGGAAACCACCUUUUCUGUCAAUCGUAUUUUGGACUCUAGAAGGAGGGGACGCGGAUUCCAGUACCUGGUGGACUGGGAGGGUUACGGCCCGGAGGAGAGAAGUUGGGUACCUGCUAGGGACAUUCUGGAUCACUCCCUUAUCGAUGAUUUCAAUCGACAGUGUUUGUGUGGGCGUGGUUUCCCAAUCUCGGCCUGAUUGUCUGCGCCAGCUGGAACCACUUAUCUUCCCUUUAUAUGUUCUGUUACCAGUGUUUCUUGUUGUCAGAUCGUUGUUUCUUCUCUGAGGUUGUGUCGUGUGUCCGUGCUCUUCUCUUGUGUGGAUUAUCUGCUGUGCUCCUUCCUACUCAUCCGGACACACUCCCUGGUUUUCUCAGCACGUUAUGAUCGGAAGAUGCACCCGAGUUCCUGGGUCGGAUUCCUUCUGAGUACAGUCUGUCUGUCAUGUUGCUGCUGUGAACUACAUUCAUUAAAACCAUCGUUGCUUGCA